UACGGAGGGGGCUAGCGUUGUUCGGAAUUACUGGGCGUAAAGCGCACGUAGGCGGAUAUUUAGGUCAGGGGUGAAAUCCCGGGGCUCAACCCCGGAACUGCCUUUGAUACUGGGUAUCUGGAGGUCGAGAGAGGCGAGUGGAAUUCCGAGUGUAGAGGUGAAAUUCGUAGAUAUUCGGAGGAACACCAGUGGCGAAGGCGGCUCGCUGGCUCGAUACUGACGCUGAGGUGCGAAAGCGUGGGGAGCAAACAGG
rnacentral:rRNA from 1 species